rnacentral:rRNA from 1 species
GAUGAACGCUAGCUACAGGCUUAACACAUGCAAGUCGCGGGGCAGCAUGGGGGUUGCUUGCAACCCCUGAUGGCGACCGGCGCACGGGUGAGUAACGCGUAUCCAACCUGCCCUUCACCACGGGAUAACCCGGCGAAAGUCGGACUAAUACCGUAUGUUGUCCAUUGACGGCAUCCGAUUUGGACGAAAGGCCGGGCGGGGGAAGGAUGGGGAUGCGUCCGAUUAGCUUGACGGCGGGGUAACGGCCCACCGUGGCUACGAUCGGUAGGGGUUCUGAGAGGAAGGUCCCCCACACUGGAACUGAGACACGGUCCAGACUCCUACGGGAGGCAGCAGUGAGGAAUAUUGGUCAAUGGGCGUAAGCCUGAACCAGCCAAGUAGCGUGCAGGAUGACGGCCCUAUGGGUUGUAAACUGCUUUUAUGCGGGGAUAAAGUGGCCCACGUGUGGGCUUUUGCAGGUACCGCAUGAAUAAGGACCGGCUAAUUCCGUG